rnacentral:tRNA from 1 species
UGGAUCACCUCCUUUUUAACGGAGUUGAGUUUUCAGGCUUGUCCCGCCAAUUUAAAAUACUCGGACUCUUCCUCCCUAUUGAGUUGCUCUCCCAAGGGCCUCUAGCUCAGUUGGUUAGAGCGUGCCCCUGAUAAGGGCAAGGUCGGUGGUUCAAGUCCACCGAGGCCCAUUGUCUGGGGCACAGCCUUAGGGGAUGUAGCUCAGCGGGAGAGCGCCUGCUUUGCAAGCAGGAGGUCGAGGGUUCAAAUCCCUCCAUCUCCAUGCUUACAAGGCAGGUAGCGGGUUCAGUAAUGAACCCGUGUCAACUUGGCAAC